rnacentral:sRNA from 1 species
AUCAUCGAUCUGCUGAGGGCAGAUGAAGUGGAUAUGCGCAUCCAUGCCGCCCGCGGUGAGAAUGCGUCCCUCUCCCGCGAUGGCCUCUGUGCCGGGGCCGACGAUGAUGUCCACGCCCGGCUGGGUGUCGGGGUUGCCCGCCUUGCCGAUCUUGUGGAUGCGCCCGUCGCGCAAGCCGAUGUCGGCCUUGUAGAUACCCGUCCAGUCGAGGAUCAACGCAUUGGUGAUGACGGUAUCGACAGCGCCCUCGGCGCGUGUCGCCUGGCUCUGGCCCAUGCCGUCGCGGAU